CAAUAGCGUAUAUUUAAGUUGUUGCAGUUAAAAAGCUCGUAGUUGGAUUUCGGUUGAGAACGGCCGGUCCGCCGUUUGGUGUGCACUGGCUGGUCUCAACUUCCUGUAGAGGACGCGCUCUGGGUUAACGCUCGGACGCGGAGUCUACGUGGUUACUUUGAAAAAUUAGAGUGUUUAAAGCAGGCGUUCGCUGUGAAUACAUUAGCAUGGAAUAAUGAGAUAGGACUUUGGUACUAUUUUGUUGGUUUGCGCACCAAGGUAAUGAUUAAUAGGGAUAGUUGGGGGCAUUAGUAUUUAAUUGUCAGAGGUGGAAUUCUUGGAUUUGUUAAAGACGGACUACUGCGAAAGCAUUUGCCAAGGAUGUUUUCAUUGAUCAAGAACGAAAGUUAGGGGAUCAAAGAUGAUUAGAUACCGU
rnacentral:rRNA from 1 species